rnacentral:lncRNA from 1 species
CAAGUGGUCAAUUAGUUAAGAUCAUAUGCUUAUAUGUCCAAGUGAUCAUAGAAGUACUCGAAUAAACUGUAGUUGUUCAAAAUCAAAACUCCAAAUUUGCAGACUUAAUUUCAAUUGUGGCUUAUCUUCUUUACUAGGUCUGAUGCUACUAUAAUGGGAUUGUGUAAGACUUUUAAGUGCUAGUAGAAUUAUUCAUAAACACAUUCACUUGGAAAGUAGAAUUGGACUUUCAUGCCAACCCACAACAGAUAUGUGGUCUUCCAAUCAUCCCUUUCUGUCAUGAUGUAUCCGAUGUUAGAUUGUUUGAUAUCUUCCAAUGUG